GUGGUUUGCUUAAAGGGAAGACAGAAAUGAGGAUUGAUUACAAGCUAAGCAAAACUAACCCGCUUGCCUCAGACUCUACAGUCCAUUCCGGACGCUGGCCCUCCGGUGUAAAUUGCUCACCGCUAAGGAAGGGCGUGUGCGGGGAACCUGAUUUUGGGGUUCCCGGGAGCCGGCGGUGGGACGGCCCGGGGUUGGGAGGGCCGAAGCUCUUCAGCACCACGGACAGCGCCUUAUCCCGCGGCUCCGCCCCGCCGGGACGCAGCUGGCCAGCUGUGAUAGACUGGAUCUCAUCCUAAAGAGGCUUUGAUGCUGCCAAUAGCAGACUCUGUUCCUGGCCACUUCUAACAGAAGGAGGAGGAGAAGGAAUGCUUCCAGCACACUCUUUCUCCUCAUGGCAGCAGAAGCUUCUCAUUGAUUUAGCUGUUAAAUAAUUCAGAGGCAACAACCAUCUGUUUAAGUGGAUGUCCUGUUUCACAUCUCCCCAAGGAAAAGGCAGCAAUCCGGAAAGAAACAUGAAGUGUGACUUGCUGACAUUUUUACAUAAAGACUAUCUAACAAUUAAGAGUUUGAUUAAUAUUAUUGGAAAAGAUGGACUGCAAGAGUUACAUAUUUGGCUACUGUGGAUGAAGACGUAGAAUGACGUCCGUGUAGGUGCAAAGGUCUCUCAGGACACCUCGUGUGAUUACAAAUGAUGCAUUGAAAGUCAAAAAGAGAACACCAGAAGAAAAAAAAUCUUUAAGAAGGCCAGAGAUAGAUAAAAGUCAAAGACAUGAAAUUUAAUUUGCAUUUAGUUAUUUUAAUUAAUUCUUUCACUCCCUUAAACCUAAAAUUGAAGGUAAACUGUUACCCUACCAAUCCUGCAAAUUGUCUGCUUUCUUAGUCUUUACAGGAAGUUUUUUGACCAGAACUGAAUUAUUUCAACUGCACAUGAAAUUUCAAUUCCUAAUCAAAUAUUUUUGUAGAGAGAUGAAGUUUCAUUCAUAGAUAUACCCCUUUUCUACAAGACUUUUCAAUUUCUGUUUAGGAAACCCUACCAUUCCCCAUAUACUGAAAGGUGAUACACUUCUCUCUUUAUUAAUUAGUAUAGGAAGAAAGUGAAAGACCUUUUAGAAGGUCUCUGGUUGAUUACGGCACAAUGUUUUCUAUACCACACUUACUUUGUUUGUUGGAAAGCAAUUCGUAUUUAGUUAUUGGUACUGGUGCUAGAGAAGGCUAUAGAACUAGACAGAAAAAUUGACUUACACCUAUGAAACUACAGUUUAAGUACAUUAAAAUUGCUUUAAAGUUAUGGAUUAAUUCCACACAUAUGGGAUAUUUUACCUGCUUAUUGGGAUUUCACUAGAAAGGCAUAAUUUUUGUUAAAUUCAAAAGUAUAGCGCAAAAAUGAUUUUUUAGUAUAAAGUUGUACAGCACAUUUUCAUAAUCUUCAGUGACAAAUGAAAUGCAUCUUCCAGAUCAAUUGGGCAUGCUACUGUGUAAAAAUCAGAACAUAUUAUCCUUUAUUAUUGCUUGCUUAUAAACUGUGUAUUCAAAAAUACUAAAUAUAUAUGCUUAGACAGUGCUCUUCUAUCACUUAAUAUAUAAGUGAAAGACUUUUGUUUUGUCAUGUGGUGUCCUUGUAAUUACUAAUAAAGUUACUUAUUUUUUUUCUGGAUUUGAAUGAAUAAACACUUAUGUUCAGAUUUCUGUAUUUCACUGAUGUCACUAAUAUGCAUAAUGCAUAUACGACACAUUAUAAUCUGUAUUUGAGUAGUAGAUAUUUCAUAAUAUUAAUCUAAUUCCUUUGAAUAAAAAGCCUUGCAAUGUAUACUGUACAUAAUCAGGCAACUGUUUAUCCUACUGUGCAUAUGAUCAGCAGUUUUUAAAGUUGCAGUCAGAAAGGUUCCCAUUUGCUUCAAAUAUUUUAUCUGUGUCCAUAGCAAGGAAACAAAAGGAAAAGAGUAUUUUGUACCUCUCCCUAUGUUUCCCCUUUCUUCUCAUCCCACUUUGCAGCAGGCAGGUGGAAUGGAACCAUUCUUUGUCUAGUUAUAUUGUAGAAAAAGGUAGCACAGACUUGUGACUGGUCUAGCAUUGUGCUUGUGAAUGAAUGAAUUAUGGUAGCAGCAAAUAUAGAAAAGUGUUUGCAUUCCCACCCUUCACGUUUUAUUGACAGAGGGAUGGUUCACAGCUCUCAAAACUGUUCACAACAUGCUGAGGCUUGCCACUCCAGAUUGAAAAACAUUAGGGUUUUUUUACAUUUAGAUGAUUCACUAAAUCUUGAUGGAAUUUCAUUUGCAUAAAAAUUCUUAAGAACAAUCUAAAUGAUUUGUUAUCAAAUAUAUUCAGUUGCACUCUGCCAGCUUGAAUUUUAUGCUGCCACUCCAAGGUGAAGUCACCAGCCCCAGCAACUCUACGGUCAAGCAUCCAUGCAAAGAUCACAAGCUACCAUUUUCUCCUGGGAGGCCAAGAAUGCCCAUGGACCAUUGAGGCGCUGCCUCUGAUGAUAAACCUGUCAGGAAGUGUUACUUAGGUAAUGACUGAGUAGUUGUACCAGAAGACAAUAGCAGUUUGUGCUUCAGAAUUCAGAGGAUCAGCACAUGGCUGGAUGACGUUUCCGUCCUGGAUAUCCAAAUACAUAUGUUGUAAGUAAGCAUUUCAGUAUUUUUGUUUUGCUUACACUUAGUGCAUACUUACCGUCAUUAAAAAUACUGUAAACAAGUGAUUUGUCUUUAAAUGAAAAUAAAUGUUGAAGUUGAGAGCUCCUGUUUAGGAGUUCUGCUAGUAGUGUCUCUGCGUAAAAACCAGAUUUCUACCCUGCACAUUUUUUAUAGUUCUGGUUAUGCUCCUGUAGUCUUAUAUCACGUAAUUCUAAAUAGAAAGUUUUCAAUGAAAAUUCUGAACUGCAAUAUUGUAAUUUUAAAUUUAACCUAAUUGUUAAAAAGAAAAAUAAUCUUUCCCAUGAGAAAAUGGUGGAUUUCUGCAGAUGUAAAAUGCUUCACUGAAAUAAAUCCCAAACUCUUUAUAA